rnacentral:rRNA from 1 species
GACGAACGCUGGCGGCGUGCCUAAUACAUGCAAGUAGAACGCUGAAGAGAGGAGCUUGCUCUUCUUGGAUGAGUUGCGAACGGGUGAGUAACGCGUAGGUAACCUGCCUUGUAGCGGGGGAUAACUAUUGGAAACGAUAGCUAAUACCGCAUAACAAUGGAUGACCCAUGUCAUUUAUUUGAAAGGGGCAAAUGCUCCACUACAAGAUGGACCUGCGUUGUAUUAGCUAGUAGGUGAGGUAACGGCUCACCUAGGCGACGAUACAUAGCCGACCUGAGAGGGUGAUCGGCCACACUGGGACUGGGACACGGCCCAGACUCCUACGGGAGGCAGCAGUAGGGAAUCUUCGGCAAUGGGGGCAACCCUGACCGAGCAACGCCGCGUGAGUGAAGAAGGUUUUCGGAUCGGAAAGCUCUGUUGUAAGUCAAGAACGAGUGUGAGAGUGGAAAGUUCACACUGUGACGGUAGCUUACCAGAAAGGGACGGCUAACUACGUG